AUUGAACGCUGGCGGCACGCUUAACACAUGCAAGUCGAACGGCAGCAGCACCGAGCUUGCUCGGUGGCUGGCGAGUGGCGGACGGGUGAGUAACACGUAGGAAUCUACCCUUUAGCCUGGGAUAACUCGGGGAAACUCGAGCUAAUACCGGAUAAUCUCUUCGGAGCAAAGAUGGCCACUCCUUGGAAGCUGUCACUGAAGGCAGGGCCUACGUCGGAUUAGCUAGUUGGUGGGGUAAAGGCCUACCAAGGCGACGAUCCGUAGCUGGUCUGAGAGGACGAACAGCCACACUGGGACUGAGACACGGCCCAGACUCCUACGGGAGGCAGCAGUGGGGAAUAUUGGACAAUGGGGGCAACCCUGAUCCAGCGAUGCCGCGUGUGUGAAGAAGGCCUGCGGGUUGUAAAGCACUUUAGCUAGGGAGGAGUAGAGUUUGUUUAAGAGAUGAACUUGAAGACGUUACCUAGAGAAUAAGCACCGGCUAACUCUGUG
rnacentral:rRNA from 1 species